rnacentral:lncRNA from 1 species
AAUAUCCUUUAGCUGAAAUUUCAGGCUGUUGGUUUCAUUACGUAAAUGCUGUGGUUAACAAGUGUAAACAUCUUGGAUUGUUUGGACUUUUAAAAUUGCAAGUUCACAGUGAUUUGAAGAAAUGGAUAAGGCUAUUAUUGUGUCUUUCUUUGCUACCGCCUCACCAUAUUCAGCCAACAUUAGGCAAUUUGAAUCCAAAUUUGUUUGUGGUGUCAUUAAGCAUAAAUGACUUCGCAAAAUGUCAAAGUUUAAUGACCUAUAUGGAAACAUUUUGGAUUGGGCGUAUUGGCAGUAACAAAAUUUCUGUUUUUGGUUGUCCCAGAAGAACGAACUCUGAUUAAGAAAGCCUCCAUGCCUCGCUUUUAAAACGAAUAAAGAUUGCUCAUCCAAACAUUUGGCUUUUUAUAACAGAACUAAGAAAGUUUGCAGAAGUCCAGCAACUUGAUAAAGUACGUUUAGAAUGUGGACUUCAAAUUCGUCGGAGACGAAAGCAGAAAUAUGUUUUAAAUGAUCGUAAAAUCAGAGUUGCUACUGAAAAAUUGGCCAACGGACGUCUAACUUCAUUGGAAUUUCUACAAAGUGUUUCACAUUGCGCAGAUGCGUUAUUUAACAAUCAACUUGGCGUUAGCCGUAUAAAUCAACCACCGGAAUUGGAAACAGUUUCAUCAUUUACGCAAGUUCAAAUGGAGCCCUCACAGCCAAAUUCAAUUCCACCUCAAGAUGAAGCCCAGCAACUUAAUGUAUCAAUACCACGGGAUGUAGCUAUAGUGCAAAAUACAGAUGAUGUAGCUAUAGUGCAAAAUACCUUCCAACUCGGAGAAAACUUACAUAGUUCUACAGAAAUUGUUGGAGUCACGGAGACUUUAAGAGUAGUGGAUGAAACUAAUGGAACAACAUGUCCUGUUUGUUUAGAAAAUACUCCAAACUUCGCUGCUGUUCCCUGUGGACACAUGGUUUGCACAAUGUGUAUACCACAUUUACAGUUAAAAUGUCCUCGUUGCCGAGUAACAGUUCUUAUGUUUAUACAAACAUUUGCGUGAUCUGCUUGAUAAAUGUUCAUAUACAAACUUUUUUGUUGAAAUUUAACAGUAUAGUUGUAUUCAAAAC